rnacentral:sRNA from 1 species
CAGGUUAUAUGCCUUUAUUGUCAAUGUUUGCUUUUUGUUGGCCCAUUGCGAAGCGUACUGAUUUGCCAACAAUCAUAAUGACAAGCCCGAACGAAUGUUCGGGCUUUUUUUUACCUGAUCGA